ACUUUUAUUGGACAGCAGCCGU
rnacentral:tRNA from 1 species